ensembl:lncRNA
CUGGUGGUUUAUGUAUUCUUUCCUAUAAUGCUUACAAGAGCUUUACAUGGUUGUGUUUAACACAAGUAAUAAGAUACACCACCUUACUUCUCUAACUAAUAAUAUUCAGCAAUGAGAACAAACGUAUUGCAAAAAGUAUCAACAAAUCAACCGUACAGGCAAACACUGAUUUUCCAAAAAACACUGAGGGACCAAAUUAUGAACUUUUUCCAAGAGAAGAACCUCUUGUUGUAGUCAGAGAUCAGUGCAGAGAACUGAAAGGCAAGGCUUUGCACCUAGGCUAAAAAGUCUUUGUGGCAAGAAACUCUUCCUCCGCCUCCUCCUCUUCCUCUUCCUCCUCCUCCUCCAUUUGCUAUUGGGUGGCAAAACCGAGAGACAGAGGGGCAAUCUGCCUUGAGAAUUAGUGAAGCUGCUGCGGGUGUGAGCACAAUUUCCAUUGGUGCCUGUAGAAGACGCAGCAGCAUAUGGCUAGCAGAGAUUUCCCCUAUAAGAGUGAAAGGAGAAGAAGGAAAAUGCUUUUCACUAGUCUGGCUGUGGGACUGUCUCACACUCAACUGCCAUCCCUCUCGACUGUGUUGCUUGCAUCCCCGUUGGCACUGGAGUACAGUUGGUGUGGCUUGGGAAUUCAGUUGUUUGUUCGUCUCUCCAAGAAACGAAUGGAACCCCUGCAUGUUAAAACCAGUCUGCAGACUGACCCAGAGCCAUAAUGUGGGUGCAGGCUUCCCUGGACAGCAAGCAGCCACAGGGGUACAGCUGAGCUGCAGAUAACGUCAGACCUGGGGUCCCGCAGUGUGGAUGGAGGCACGAGUGACUUGGACGUGUUUUGUCCAUGUUAAAAAUGGCAUGCUCCUCAGAACAGUCCACAAAUUCUUCUCCAGGAGGAAUCUCCUUUCCACCUCUUCCCUGCAGAUACUGCCCUUCUGCAAAGAAUAACCUUUGCAUCAAACCGUGGAACCAAACUAUACAAAUGAAGCUAUCACAUUUGACUCUUUUUUCUUUCUCAACAUAUUAAUGCAGGACCAGCAUUUAGUUAUCUAAAGACAUUGGGUUAGUGUGCCGUACCCCUGUGUUCUUCUGCCUUUUUUUUUACCAUAUAGACACUCUGAAUUACAUUUUGCUCUGCUAAUUGAACAUUUUAGUAUCACAUGCUUACAUCAGCUUUAUGUAAAUGAAAAAGGCCUUAAUGUGUUUGUUAAUGAAAGAAGUUAUACUGGUAUAUUAAAGAAGAGUUUAUUUAACUUAGUUUAAUUUAAAGGCCACUUAGCACACUGAGCAUUAAUGAUCUACAGUAAAUGUAUUCCUUCAAAGGAUUUCUCCAUUAUUGUGUGUUCUUAGACACGAGUCUACAUUGUAUAUAUAGGAUUUAGAUAAAUUGCUACACUGGGUAACACAGUGUGAUAAAUGGACGUUAAUUCAUGCUAAAUUAUGAUGAGAUUCCUUCAGAGGAAUUAUUAUAUCCCUAUGAAUACAAAAGACACCCUCUGUAUCUGAGGGUUUCCUGGGAAGCCAGACAUUUCUGUGUGUUAUAGCAAAUUGCAGAUGUACUCAUUAUAAUAACAUUAAUCAUGAUGACUCCAUUUGUCAGUUCCACUCUAAUUAAGCAUUGCUGCAGUAAUGGACCAUUAUUUUAAAGUGUUAUCAGGGACUGUUUACAAUGAGUUUAACAGAGUUAGGAGUCAGAAUUUAGCAGUCUUAUAUCAGGUGUGACUUCCCCAGUGCCGUGAGGUGACAGAGGUUUGAUAGGGACAUCACACGACGGGGGUGGCUG